GGAGAGUUGUCAGAGCGGCCGAAUGAGACGGUCUUGAAAACCGUUGUACGGUAACCCCGUACCGUGGGUUCAAAUCCCACACUCUCCG
rnacentral:tRNA from 1 species